GGUUAAUGUAAAAUACUAGUUUUAAACACAGUCUAUGGUAUUAUACCCAUUAACAUUAGCUAGCUCUUGAAAAAGAAUCAGUACAGUGUAGUUUUGCCUGCUUGUGUUCUAAUGUGGAUCAUUUCACGUAGCUGACGUUACUUAACCAGUUUUGUAACGCUUGUGUUCAAUGUCGGGCUAGUUUACAGACAAAAUGCUCCUACUCUCCAACGUGAGGAGGUCUUUGGCUUUGGUGAGAAUUGCCAGGCAUCAAUUUAAUUUCAGGGUAACGGUUGGUAAUGCGCGAAUACCCUGUUUUCAUGGGACUUUCUCCACUGACUCUGCUGGUGUCAAGGUGUUGUAUGAUGGAGAGUGCCCCAUAUGUGUGAAAGAGAUCAGAUUCCUACAGUAUCUACAGAGGAACAGGCCAAGCAAAGUUGAUUUUGUGGACAUCUCGCUUCCAGGUUAUGAUCAAGUGAAGUAUCAAGGAAUCAGCUAUGAGAUGGCAAUGAAAGAAAUGACAGUAAUUGAUGGAAACAAUAAGGUUCAACAUGGAGUCCCAGCUUUCAAAGUGAUGUACACUGCUGUGGGUCUAGGCUGGCUGGGGCACAUCCUGAUGUGGCCACCUGUCAAACCGUUCAUGGACAAAAGCUAUGCCAUCUUUGCCAGAAAUCGUCUGAAGUGGACUGGACGUGACGAAUGCUCCUCAGGACGCUGUGUAAAGAAAGAGCCUUGAAACCUUAACAGGAAGUGAAUAUGGAAAAAUGGUCCGAUGGAGAAAAGCCUCCCUUGUCCUUAAGACUUUAUGGUCAAGUUACCACUAAAUAGAACUGAGUGUUACAGCUUGUCAGAAACACAUCCAAUUCUAGUCUAUCUGAACACUGUGAAACCUGAAGUUGCCACUAGAUGUCACUGUAGAGACAUGGAUUUGCCCAGGGAACGUGCUACAAUAUGGCAGACUUUAAAUUGUAAGUGAGGAGAUUCACUUCCAGGAAAGUUUGUGGGAUAAGACCCAAUGGCCAUGUAAAUGUGGCCUUUCCCCCAAAUAAUUUUUGCAAAUGUGUUUUUUGGAGAGCUAAAGGUGACGUUGUAAUAUUACAACAAGGGGUCUUACAGGGUUAAGAAUGUUCCUUCAGACUCUUUAGAUUGGAUGUUGUUUGAGACGGUUGACAUCAAAUGCAAUAAUAUAUCUUAAGAAAAUGUGCAGACCUUUGUUGGUGUUUUGUGCAUUCAGUUGCUUAUUCAUAGUAUUUCAUCUAUUUAAAUCUCCAUGAAGUAUGUGCUUUGUGUUGUGUAAUUCAAUUUAUAAUCUCUUACCGUCCCCAUGUUUAUACAACAAAUGAUCUCAGUACUGUACUAAGGACAGGAUGUGCCUAACCUUAGGCACGAGGCAAGACUUGCUGAGUGAUUUGUGUUGUUUACUAAACACGGAUCUUUGUGGCAUGUGGCACGUCUAUUUUAAGGUAUAUUUUGUUGACACAAAAACAAGCGUCAAAGUUAAAACCUUAAUUUGUUUCAGGCUGUUGUCAGUGUGGUUGGACAUGUAUAUUUACAAAUGUAGUGAAUAUAUUUAACAUAAUGCUAAGGCCAUAAACCAUUAACUGAUGGGGGAUGCCACAGUGAAAUAUACACAUUUCCUUCUAGGAAACUCAAUGAAA